AAGGUUACACUGUCUCCUUUUUCUAAUCAGUAAAACUAAUCUUCCCGUGAAGAAGCGGGGAUCCUUAUAUAAGACGAGAAGACCCUAUGGAGCUUUAAACGAAAUAACAUCUACCAACUCAACCAACAAUUUCAGAAAAUUAACACUAAACUUGGUAUAAUGAUUACUAGUUUUAGGUUGGGGUGACCGCGGAGCAAAAAACAACCUCCGCAUUGAAUGGACCUACACUCCUAAACAAAAAACCACAACUUUAUGUAUCAACAUAUUGACAUCCAUUGACCCAUUAAUUUGAUCAACGAACCAAGUUACCCUAGGGAUAACAGCGCAAUCCAUUUCAAGAGCCCCUAUCGACAAAUGG
rnacentral:rRNA from 1 species